rnacentral:rRNA from 1 species
GUUGUAUGGUUAAGUGACUAAGCGUACACGGUGGAUGCCUUGGCAGUUGGAGGCGAUGAAGGACGUACUAACUUGCGAUAAGCUAAGUCGAGCCAGUAAGAGGCACUUGAGACUUAGAUUUCCGAAUGGGGAAACCCACCGCUUAGCGGUAUCUUACAGUGAAUACAUAGCUGUAAGAGGCAAACCGGGAGAACUGAAACAUCUAAGUACCCCGAGGAAAAGAAAUCAACCGAGAUUCCGAAAGUAGCGGCGAGCGAAAUCGGAUUAGCCCUUAAGCUUCAGUGUAAUUAGUGGAACCUUCUGGAAAGUUGGACGACACAGGGUGACAGUCCCGUACACGAAAAUUUAUCUGAAGUGAAAUCGAGUAGGUCGGAGCACGUGAAACUUUGACUGAAUAUGGGGGGACCAUCCUCCAAGGCUAAAUACUCCCAACUGACCGAUAGUGAACCAGUACCGUGAGGGAAAGGCGAAAAGAACCCCUGUGAGGGGAGUGAAAUAGAACCUGAAACCGUGUACGUACAAGCAGUAGGAGCCCUUCGAGGGUGACUGCGUACCUUUUGUAUAAUGGGUCAGCGACUUAUAUUCUGUAGCGAGGUUAACCAUUUAGGGGAGCCGUAGCGAAAGCGAGUCUUAACUGGGCGCUUAAGUUGCAGGGUAUAGACCCGAAACCCGGUGAUCUAGCCAUGGGCAGGUUGAAGGUCAGGUAACACUGACUGGAGGACCGAACCCACUAACGUUGAAAAGUUAGGGGAUGACCUGUGGCUAGGAGUGAAAGGCUAAUCAAACCGGGAGAUAGCUGGUUCUCCCCGAAAUCUAUUUAGGUAGAGCCUCGGACGAAUACUUACGGGGGUAGAGCACUGUUAAGGCUAGGGGGUCAUCCCGACUUACCAACCCUUUGCAAACUCCGAAUACCGUAAAGUACUAUCCGGGAGACACACGGUGGGUGCUAACGUCCAUCGUGGAGAGGGAAACAACCCAGACCGUCAGCUAAGGUCCCAAAGUGUAUGUUAAGUGGGAAACGAUGUGGGAAGGCUAAAACAGCUAGGAGGUUGGCUUAGAAGCAGCCAUCCUUUAAAGAAAGCGUAAUAGCUCACUAGUCGAGUCGGCCUGCGCGGAAGAUGUAACGGGGCUAAACAUACCACCGAAGCUACGGCUGCGAACUUAUGUUCGCGGGGUAGGGGAGCGUUCUGUAAGUGGCUGAAGGUGUGCCGGGAG